UGGAAUAGCUCAGUUGGUAGAGCAACUGAUUCGUAAUCAGUAGGUCGUGGGUUCGAGUCCCAUUUUCA
rnacentral:tRNA from 1 species